rnacentral:rRNA from 1 species
AAGCAGGGGAUCUUCGGACCUUGCGUUAAUGGAGCGGCUGAUAUCUGAUUAGCUAGUAGGUGAGGUAAAGGCUCACCUAGGCUUCGAUCAGUAGCUGGUCUGAGAGGACGACCAGCCACACUGGAACUGAGACACGGUCCAGACUCCUACGGGAGGCAGCAGUGGGGAAUUUUGGACAAUGGGGGCAACCCUGAUCCAGCCAUUCCGCGUGAGUGAAGAAGGCCUUCGGGUUGUAAAGCUCUUUCGCAAGGGAAGAAACGUUACGAGCGAAUAACUCGUGAUAAUGACGGUACCUUGAUAAGAAGCACCGGCUAACUACGUGCCAGCAGCCGCGGUAAUACGUAGGGUGCGAGCGUUAAUCGGAAUUACUGGGCGUAAAGCGUGCGCAGGCGGUUUUGUAAGUCAGAUGUGAAAUCCCCGAGCUCAACUUGGGAACUGCGUUUGAAACUACAAGGCUAGAGUAUGGUAGAGGGGGGUAGAAUUCCACGUGUAGCAGUGAAAUGCGUAGAGAUGUGGAGGAAUACCAAUGGCGAAGGCAGCCCCCUGGACUAAUACUGACGCUCAUGCACGAAAGCGUGGGGAGCAAACAGGAUUAGAUACCCUGGUAGUCCACGCCCUAAACGAUGUCUACUAGUUGUUGGGAGAGUAAAAUCUCUUAGUAACGCAGCUAACGCGUGAAGUAGACCGCCUGGGGAGUACGGUCGCAAGAUUA